rnacentral:rRNA from 1 species
AGUGAACGCUGGCGGUAGGCCUAUCACAUGCAAGUCGAACGGCAGCACAGUAAGAGCUUGCUCUUACGGGUGGCGAGUGGCGGACGGGUGAGGAAUACAUCGGAAUCUACUUUUUCGUGGGGGAUAACGUAGGGAAACUUACGCUAAUACCGCAUACGACCUACGGGUGAAAGCAGGGGAUCUUCGGACCUUGCGCGAUUGAAUGAGCCGAUGUCGGAUUAGCUAGUUGGCGGGGUAAAGGCCCACCAAGGCGACGAUCCGUAGCUGGUCUGAGAGGAUGAGCAGCCACACUGGAACUGAGACACGGUCCAGACUCCUACGGGAGGCAGCAGUGGGGAAUAUUGGACAAUGGGCGCAAGCCUGAUCCAGCCAUACCGCGUGGGUGAAGAAGGCCUUCGGGUUGUAAAGCCCUUUUGUUGGGAAAGAAAAGCAGCAGGUUAAUACCCCGCUGUUCUGACGGUACCCAAAGAAUAAGCACCGGCUAACUUCGUG